AUUGAACGCUGGCGGCAGGCCUAACACAUGCAAGUCGAGCGGAUGAAGGGAGCUUGCUCCUGGAUUCAGCGGCGGACGGGUGAGUAAUGCCUAGGAAUCUGCCUGGUAGUGGGGGAUAACGUCCGGAAACGGGCGCUAAUACCGCAUACGUCCUGAGGGAGAAAGUGGGGGAUCUUCGGACCUCACGCUAUCAGAUGAGCCUAGGUCGGAUUAGCUAGUUGGCGGGGUAAAGGCCUACCAAGGCGACGAUCCGUAACUGGUCUGAGAGGAUGAUCAGUCACACUGGAACUGAGACACGGUCCAGACUCCUACGGGAGGCAGCAGUGGGGAAUAUUGGACAAUGGGCGAAAGCCUGAUCCAGCCAUGCCGCGUGUGUGAAGAAGGUCUUCGGAUUGUAAAGCACUUUAGGUUGGGAGGAAGGGCAGUAAGUUAAUACCUUGCUGUUUUGACGUUACCAACAGAAUAAGCACCGGCUAACUUCGUG
rnacentral:rRNA from 1 species